GCAAACUUGGUCAUUUAGAGGAAGUAAAAGUCGUAACAAGGUUUUCGUAGGUGAACCUGCGGAAGGAUCAUUAUCGAAUGAAUAUUGCAUUAACUUGCAAUUAUAAAUUCAAAACACUUGUGAACUUAAUGAAAUUUUGCUUUGGCUGAACAAUUGUUUGGCCAAAAGUUUUUUUUAAAAACCAUUUUUUAAACCAUGUUUCUGAAAUUGAAAAAUAAAAAGCUUAAUAAAACUUUCAACAACGGAUCUCUUGGUUCUCGCAUCGAUGAAGAACGCAGC
rnacentral:misc_RNA from 1 species